GAUGAACGCUGGCGGCGUGCCUAAUACAUGCAAGUCGAGCGAACAGACGAGGAGCUUGCUCCUCUGACGUUAGCGGCGGACGGGUGAGUAACACGUGGAUAACCUACCUAUAAGACUGGGAUAACUUCGGGAAACCGGAGCUAAUACCGGAUAAUAUAUUGAACCGCAUGGUUCAAUAGUGAAAGACGGUUUUGCUGUCACUUAUAGAUGGAUCCGCGCCGCAUUAGCUAGUUGGUAAGGUAACGGCUUACCAAGGCAACGAUGCGUAGCCGACCUGAGAGGGUGAUCGGCCACACUGGAACUGAGACACGGUCCAGACUCCUACGGGAGGCAGCAGUAGGGAAUCUUCCGCAAUGGGCGAAAGCCUGACGGAGCAACGCCGCGUGAGUGAUGAAGGUCUUCGGAUCGUAAAACUCUGUUAUUAGGGGAGAACAAAUGUGUAAGUAACUAUGCACGUCUUGACGGUACCUGAUCAAAAAGCCACGGCUAACUACGUG
rnacentral:rRNA from 1 species